GUUUUGGUCCUAAACUUGCCCUUGUUUUUUACCAAAAUUAUACAUGCAAGCCUCCACACACCAGUGAGAAUGCCCAAACACCCCCUAAACAGCAAACCGGAGCAGGCAUCAGGAUCCAACAUUAACAAAUUAGCCAAAGACGCCUUGCACACGCCACACCCACACGGGCCCUCAGCAGUAAUUAACAUUAAGACAUGAGCGAAAGCUCGACUUAGUUAUGGUUCACAUGGUCGGUAAAUUUCGUGCCAGCCACCGCGGUUAUACGAAAGACCAAAAACAACGGCUCACGGCGUAAAGCGUGACUAGAGAACUAAGACUGGCUUAGAGGAAAACAGCUGCCAAGUAGUAAAACACACACGCACACUGGAACCACAACAACCCGCCUCUAACAUUUCUUUACCUCACGAAAGCUAAGAAACAAACUGGGAUUAGAUACCCCACUAUGCUUAGCCCUAAACAUAGACAGUGUAAACACGACACUAUCCGCCAGAGAACUACAAACGAAAAGCUUAAAACUCCAAGGACUUGGCGGUGCUUCAAACCAGCCUAGAGGAGCCUGUCCUAUAAUCGAUACCCCCCGUUCAACCUUACCUCCCCUAGCCCAACAGCCUAUAUACCGCCGUCGUCAGCCUACCUUAUGAAAGAAGUAGAGUAAGCAAAAAAGUUAACAACUAACACGUCAGGUCAAGGUGUAGCACACGGAGAGGCAGAGAUGGGCUACAUUUUCUCAAAGAGAAAACACAAAUGGUGAACUGAAAUACGCACCUGAAGGCGGAUUUAGCAGUAAAAUGACCAAGAGUUGUCAUUUUAACCAUGCUCUGAAGCGCGCACACACCGCCCGUCACCCUCAUCACAUGUUCCAUAAUAUAAAAGC
rnacentral:ncRNA from 1 species